rnacentral:rRNA from 1 species
CAGCCAUAUGCUUCGUUCAAGGGCUAAGCCAUGCAUGUCUCAGAGUACAUGGCUUCAACAGUGGAUCUGUGAAUGGCUCCUUACAUCAGCAGUCAUCUGUGUGGUGAAGUGUGGCUGGCACCAUCUGCCAAGGUGCUCUCUUGGACAUCCACCAAAACCUAGUGGCUAAUACACGGUCGAAUGUGUCUAUCACAGCAAUGUUGCUUGGCAACUUCCAUUGUCAUCACCAUGCGAUGGAUUGCACCCAGCCGAAUGGGAAGACCAGUGCUGGGAAACAGCAGCGUGCUUGUGGUGACUCAGGCUGGUCCUGUAUGGACAAUGGCUCUGGCAGAGUGGUGGCUUCGUGCCACAGCAAUUGCUUGACCACAUUGAACUUCUGACCUAUCAGCCUGGAUUGUGGUGUAGUGGACCACAAUGGCCUCAACGGGUCACGGAGAAUCAGGGUUCGAUUCCGGAGAGGGAGCCUGAGAGAUGGCUACCACUACCAAGGUGGGCAGCAGGCGCGCAAAUUGCCCAAUGCUAAACCAAUCCUGCGAGGCAGCAACGAACUGCAGCAAUGCCGCUUGACCUUGCGUCGGGUGGCACUUGCAAUGGAUGCUAUGCAAACACAGUGAUGAGAAUCAACUGGAGGGCAAGUCUGGUGCCAGCAGCUGCGGUAAUUCCAGCUCCAAGAGCGUAUGCUAACAUUGCUGCUGUUAAAACACUUGUAGUCUGCCCCUGGGUGCAGGUCUGCCAGGUGGCUGGUGGCUGGUGCUGCUCCGGCAGUGCUGGUUGCUGGAUCAAACCCCUGUGCAGUAUGCCCUGCACCCAUUCUCCACUGAUGGUGAGACCAUCCCUACCAGAAGCCUCCUUAAGUGGUGGCUGAAGUGGCUUUGCACUCAACGCCUGCUCUGGCAGCCGGGGAGCACUGGCCUUGUGCCAUGACCAUCACCCCCAGCCGGCCACCGGGAUCCACCGUCGCUGUCACCCUGGAAAACUCAGUGUGCUCAAAGCAUCCUUAUGGCUGAAUGUCAAUCCAUGGAAUGACGAAGCAUCGACCUUGAAUGGCUGUGAAGUUGUGCUGGCCUUUGUGCCUAUGCAAGGACAAUCCAGUGCUUGUCUCCAGCCUGGUGCUGCCGUCCUCCGGGAUGGUGGCCUGGGGUCUGGCAGGCUUGCUCUGUCCGGAGAUGAUGGAACAGCUCGGGGUGAACGAUAUUGAAGCGCUAGAGGUGAAAUUCUCAGACCGCUGCAAGAUCCACUGCAGCGAAGGCGCUCUGCAAGUGCUUGUUCGUCGAUCAAGAAUGAGAGUGUGGGGAGCAAAGAUGAUCAGACACCGUCGUAGUCCACUACUGUCAACUGUGCCGGCUAGGCCUUGGUGCUGCAAGUCAACGGACAGCAUCAGGGCCACCUUCCCCUCCAACGAGAAAUCCAAGCCAUUGGGUUCAGGGGGAAGUACUGUCGCAAGGCUGAAACUUAAAGGAAUUGACGGAAUGGCACCACAAGGCGUGGAGUAUGCGGCUUAAUUUGACUCAACACGGGGAAUGUUACCAGGUCAGGACGUUGUCUGGAUGGACAGACUGAGAGCUCUUUCUUGAUCCUAUGGAUGGUGGUGCAUGGCCGCUCCUGAUUGGUGGAGUGAUUUGUCUGGUUGAUUCCGAUAACGAGUGAGACAUCUGCCUCCCAGUAGCCACUGGCUCGCAUUGUAGGGUUGCCUGGCGGAUUCCUCUCCCAGCUUGCUGGGGUGGUGGGCCACCUUGUCUGCCCGAGAGCAUAGUGCCAAGCUUCUCUGAGGUGCUGCGCACAGCUCACCAAGUGCAGCGCAUGCUAGAGCCAACAGCAGGUCUGUGAUGCUCCCAGAUGUCCUGGGCCGCACGCGCACUACAUUGACACAGUGAAUGUGCUUACAGCUCACUCGUUGAGGCCUGUCUGGAAGUGGAUGGGCAACCAUGUGAGCCUGUGCUGUACUGGGGAUAGACGUUUGCAACUGUCUGCCUUGAACGAGGAAUGCCUAGUAUGCGCAGGUCAUCAGCCUGCACCGAUUGCGUCCCUGCCAUUUGUACACACCGCCCGUCGUUGCUACCGAUGGCAGCUGGAUAGAGCCAUCAGGAGGCGCAUUGCAGUCCCUGUACCAUGGGCCAAAAUUGGGCAAUGUCCAGCUGCUANNGGAAGCAAAA